rnacentral:lncRNA from 1 species
AUAGAAAAUAUAAUCGGGUCAUUGAUCGGGUAAAUGGGUCAAGAAUUUUAACUCUAACCCGACACGGAAAAAAAUCGUGUUGACCCGGACCCGACCCAUUUAAUAAUCGUGUUAAAUUUGACGACCCAUAUUCAUUUAUUUAUGUCGUGUUCGUGUCGAGUAAUCGGGUCGUGUCAAAUUUUGCCAGCUCUAGUAAUAGGAAUUAUUAAGGGACAAGAGCGCAAAACAAAAACUCUGUCCACUACUGAUGAUAUAACAACGAACCUUUGUUUUUUUCUUCUUUUUUUUUUACAAAAUAUCAUUAGAGAAAUGAAAAUAUUAACUAACAUCACCCUACUGAUGAUAUAACAACGAACCUUUGUAGUUUCUGCCUGUUAAUAUGAAUUGAUCAGGAGUGUUUCCUCACUUAAAAAUUACGAAUUUACAAAUAUGUAUGUAAGUAUGUAUGUAUGUACGUACGUACGUGAGUAUGUAUGUACAUAUAUGCAUACACCUAUGUAACAUUUACUUAUCCAUCCUUUUGAGUUUAAAACUUAAUACACAUUUUCAUGAAAUUUUUAUUUUAUUAAGUAUACAACUACAGUAAUGUAUAUAUUUUUUAUAUAAGACAUGCCGUCAUAUUAUUCAUAAGUAAAACAAUGUGUUGUAAAUAGUUUAAUUAUUAAAUAUCAUACAAUAUCUUUCAACAACCGGCAAUAGACCUUUACCCAUUUUUCUUUUUCGACCAUUAGAUUCAUUCAGUUUACAUCCAACGGCAGUUUAGGAUGGAGACAAAAAGUGUGGUACGUUACCACAGUGGUAACAUUGGAUUGGGAUUGUAUGUCGUGUUUAAUUUGAAUUGGUUGAUUCCUCUAAUGAAUUAUUUUGAUAAAUUUAGUAGCAGUAUUUGGCGGCAAAAGUAUCAUUAAUUUUUGGAAAUAUGAUUAUGUUAUUAAUUAUUUUAGCAUUCUAAAAAGUCAAUGGUUAUGUUGGAAAUACUCUAAGGUAGAAUAGAGUACAAAUCACAGUCACACAUACAAAAUGAUAAAUAAUAAAAAAUAUAUUAUAUUUUUGAUCAUAUGAUUAUGAAGACGUAUUUUACCUUAAAGAAGUUCUAAUAAGCGAAUUCUUCUAAAACAAUAUAAAAUUUCUUUUUUAUCAUACUCAACCGCUUCAAACUUCUAAGAAGUAGAUAUACAAUGAGUGGAAUACUGAAUUGAGUGCGAGCUGCGGAUAAUAUAUAAAAUUGGGAUACAAGCUUCAAGGAAAGUGUAUUGCUAUUCAAAUGUAGAUUUCAAAUUAAGAAGAUAUGCCAGCAAAUUGUAUAAAAAUGUAUAAAUUGAUCAGUAACAUUAAUUCCAAAUGAUGAAAUGAGUUAUCUUGAUCAAAAGGUCAAGAACCUACCUUACUUCUCUUAGAGAUAACUUGCAUCAACCGUUGUGGUAUUGAUACUUGUCUUCAGCUAGUAAAAGACUAAAAGUGAAAGUUUCACAAUUGAAAUAAAGCUAAGGGAAGAUGCUAUGCUCCAUUUAUUAUUAUUAUUAUUGAUGUGGUCGAGAAGUAAAGCCAUGCAUAUGAUGAAGUAUAAAUAAGAAUGCAAUAGCCCGGAAUUCAUUUACACAAACACUUCAAUAUCCUUUUGAUCACUUUUGCAAACAUCAGUUUGUCUCUUGUAUUCACCAUGGUUGAUGCCAUCGUUUCCUCUCUUGUGGAGCAGCUGACUUCCUUCGCUGCUAAAGAGAUAAUACAACAGGUGAUCGAAGUUACACCCCCCAUAUUAUAAAUACUUCUAAUGAUUUUAAUUGGUUUUGUUUUUAUCGGAAACAUUAACUUUGCUUUAUUUUAUUUAUUUAGGCAUUUUAAAUUUUAAAAUUUGAAUUGAAUUCAAUUAAAAUGUGAUGUAGCUAGUAACCACUUUUUUUAUUUCAUUUAUAUUCUCAAUAACUACCCAUAUUUUGGUAACUUACUGUAACCCCCGUAUCUAAGAAAUGAUUAAAACCCACAAUUUUAACUCCACAUAAAUAUUCCAUGUUGAGCUAAGUUUUUGCAUAACAUUCAAGUUUGUUAAAUAGUCAUUAAUUUAAUGUUUAGUAAAAACUUAUCUCUGAAAAUUUUCAUAAUUUUCUUACAUUCUUUGAGUUUGGUGAGUGACUUCAUAUAAUUUCUUUUCAAUUUAAAUUUUAAUUUGGUUUCUGAUAUAGUCUCUUUACUGAAUUUAUAUCUUUUAUGAUUCUUGGAUUUUGGGCUCCAACUUUUUAGGAUUUGAUAGUCACAUUUUAUGGCAUGCUUAGAUUGAUUUUCAUGAUUUGAGUACUCGUUAAGUGACUGAGAAUUUGACAAAAGUUUGAAAGGAAAUCCGUUUCACGAUUCUUAUGUGGAAGGUUCGUAAAAUCAUGAAAUUUGGAUAGGAUUCGCUAGCAAUAUGUACAAGACUCUUCAUGAAGUUUCAUAAUUUUUCGUUCGGUCUGGGGUGGUACAGGUGAAACUUGUGGUUGGUGUUAAAGAAGAAGUGAAAAGCCUUAUCAGCCACCUUCAAGCCAUUCAAGCUGUGCUCGAUGAUGCAGAGGAAAAGCAAGUGAAGGACAAAGCUGUUAGACAUUGGCUGGGCAGGCUCAAGUAUGCAUCCUACGACAUUGAAGAUGUGUUGGAUGAGUGGAUCACAGCUAGACACAAAUUGCAAAUUGAGGGUGGCGUUGAUGACAAUGCUCUUGCUGCUCCUCAAAAGAAAAAGAAGGUAUGUUUCUGCUUUCCUGCCUCUUGUUUUGGAUUCAAACAAGAAGAAUUUGGUUUCAGACAAGUCUUUCUACGUUAUGACAUUGCCAACAAGAUCAAAGAAAUGAAUAAAGAGCUACAUGAUAUUGCCACUCAAAAAGACAUGUUUAAUCUUGUUAAGAGUGGCAAUAAAAGUGGUGAAAGACCAAGGCGUGUACAGAGUACCUCCUUGAUUGAUGAGGAAGAGAUUUGUGGUAGAGUUGGUGAGAAGAAUGAACUCAUAAGCAAGCUGUUGCGUGAGAGUAGCGAGCAACAAAAAGGCCUCCAUAUGAUCUCAAUUGUUGGUAUGGGAGGCAUAGGGAAAACUACUCUUGCACAACUAGCUUGUAAUGAUGACGUGGUGAAGAGAAAGUUCGACAAAAUUCUGUGGGUGUGUGUAUCAGAAACUUUUGAGGAGUUUAGGGUUGCCAAAGCAAUCGUUGAAGCUUUGGAUGGUCGUGAAUCUCAUUUAGGUGAAUUCCAAUCUCUUCUUAAACAUAUUGAUGAAUCCAUUGCAGGGAAGAGCUUUCUUCUUGUCUUAGAUGACGUGUGGGAUGGAAAUUACUUGAAAUGGGAACCAUUCUAUCGUUGUCUAAAGAAUGGUCUCCAUGGAAGUAAAAUUUUAGUUACCACACGUAGUGGGUCCGUUGCAUCCACGAUGGGAUCCAUAGAUAUUAUUCCCAUUGAGAAAUUAGCUGAAGAGGAAUGUUGGUUGUUGUUUAACAAGAUAGCAUUUUUUGGUAGGCCUAUCGAGGAACGUGAAAAAUUCGAACGAAUUGGGCGAAGAAUUGCUGGCAAGUGCAAAGGUUUACCUCUUGCAACAAAGACAAUAGGUAGUCUCAUGCGUUCUAAACAAACUGAAGAAGAGUGGAAAAGAAUUUUAAAUAGUGAUUUAUGGAAAGUAGAAGAGAUUGAGAAAGAUGUUUUGUCCUCUUUAUUGUUGAGUUACAAUGAUUUGCCAUCUAGAGUAAAAAGAUGUUUUUCAUAUUGUGCUCUCUUUCCAAAAGACUACGAUAUAGAAAAAGACAAACUAAUCACAUUGUGGAUGGCUCAAGGUUAUCUUAGUGCAGAAGAAGAUGAGGAGAUGGAGACUAUAGGUGAAGAGUAUUUUAGCAUCUUAGCUUCUCGCUCUUUCUUUCAAGAGUUUAAGAAAAGUUAUGAUAAUCGGAUUAUAGAGUGUAAGAUGCAUGAUAUGGUACAUGAUUUUGCCCGAUUUGUAAGUCAAAAUGAAUGUUUUUCGAUGGCAAUUAAUGGUAGUGAAGAACCAAACGCCACAAACUCUGUUGAUGAGAAGGUCCGUCAUUUAAUGUUAAUCUUUAGUAUAGAGGCUUCAUUACCUGUUUCCACUCCUAGAGUUAAAAGAAUGCGUACCCUCUUAAUUAACGAUAGUAGAUCUGAUCAAUCAUUAUUAAAUGGUGAGAUCCUAGAAGAAUUGUUUAGGGAAUUGACAAGUUUAAGGGCAUUAGAUUUUGACAAAUUGUACCACUCAAUUUGGUCUUCGACUCUGGAGAUUCCGAGAAACAUAGAAAAGCUGGUACAUUUAAGAUACCUUAAUUUGUCUUCUCAGAAAAUAGUGGAGCUACCGGAGACAUUGUGCGAGUUAUAUAAUCUAGAAAAGUUAGAUAUUAGUUUUUGUUUUGAUCUUAGAGAAUUACCUGAAGGGAUUGGGAAGUUAAUAAACAUGAAGCAUUUACUAAAUUAUGAUACUGAUUCUUUAAGGUACAUGCCAGUAGGGAUUGGGAGAUUAACGGGUCUUAGGACCUUGGAUGAGUUCCACGUGAGUGCAGGAGGAGCUGUUGAUGGUAGGAAAGCAUGUAGGCUUGAAUCUCUUAAAAACUUGGAACACCUUCAAGUAUGUGGUAUACGUAGACUGGGUGAUGUAUCAGAUGUGGGCGAGGCUAAGCGAUUAGAACUUGACAAAAAGAAAUACCUCUUCAGUUUGACCCUUGAGUUUGAUAAGAAGGAGGAAGAAGAAGGAGAAAGAAGGAAGAACGAGGACGAUCAACUUCUUCUUGAAGCCCUGCGACCACCUCUGGAUUUAAAGGAAUUAGAGAUACGGUUCUACCGAGGCAACACUGUUUUCCCCAGCUGGAUGACGUCAUUAACCAACUUAAAGAGUUUAAAACUCUCUUUCUGCGAAAAUUGCGAGCAGCUGCCUCCUUUGGGAAAAUUGCCGUCCCUUGAACAGCUCUUCAUAUCGUACAUGUCGAGUGUGAAAAGAGUGGGUGAUGAAUUUUUGGGGAUAGAAAGUGAUCAUCAUGGCUCAUCUUCAUCUUCAUCGGUUAUUAUUGCCUUCCCCAAAUUGAAAUCACUUUCAAUUGAGUUUCUGUGCGAAUUGGAGGAGUGGGAUUAUGGGAUUACAAGAACGGGAAACACCGUCAUCAACAUCAUGCCACGUCUUUCUUCCUUGACAAUUGCUCUUUGCCCCAAAUUAAAGGCACUGCCCGACCACAUUCAUCAAACGACAACAUUGAAGGAAUUGCACAUUUGGGAUUGCAGGCUUCUGGAAGAACGUUAUUGCAAGGGGGAAGGAGAAGACUGGCCUAAGAUAUCACACAUUCCCAACCUCCAUAUUGGGCAUUGACAAGUAAUUUCUUCUCUUACUCUGAUUUGCUUUGUUGUUGUUUUUAAUCUAAUUAAGAAGCGUAAAUAGCAUUUUGAAUCAAACUCUAUAUCAGAAAUCUGCAAUACUUACUUUCUAAUAUUCUGAUUUUCAUAUCCUAUGAAUAUACGAUUUUUAAUUUGUGAGAUGGGUAACGUUACUGUAAAAGAUUAUUAAUGCAAUAUGAGUAAUUCUUUUGCAGGACAAGUGACCUACAUUUAGUUUGGCUUUGGAGUUGAAUAAUAACCUUUCGGGAACUGGUGUGGACUGGCAAAGGAUGAUGAGAUAGUUUUUUGAGUGAGUAAAUUUUGGGAGCUUGAGUGUAUUGGGAUUUGCAAUUACAAUCAUCGUCUGCCUCAGGUGAUUUCUUCUCCUGCUCUGUCAUUGUUUGUUCUCUAAUUCAAAAGCAUAAAAUAUUUCAAUCAAUUUUUAUGCCAGGAAUAUGCAAAAGUUUCUAAUAUUUUAUUUCCAUCUGUCACAAGAUCAAACUGAAGCAGAACUCAAACAAAAGUAUGCUACUUCUUGCGGAAAUCUUGCCUUCGUUCAAAUUAUGAAACCAUUUCCAUGCAGCAAAUUCAUCCAAAAGUUUGAAUAAGUUUCAUGGUUGGACACUGUUGGCUUCUUUUUCUUCUGGGGUGCAUUUAGGUGCUAUCAAGUGACAGCUGUAAGUAUGAUUGCACUAAGCUGCUGCUGGGAAAUUUGAGGUUUUGAUGGCUGCCCAUGUUAUUUUCAAGAAACUAUUGAUGUAAGAAGCCGUGGUUCUUUUCAUCAGCUUGAACCUGAAACUGUCGCUAUGGAUAACUCAGGUUUUUGUUAUCAACUAUAUCAUCUUUUUCACUAUUUUGAAACUCUUAAGAUUAAACGUUAGUAAAGUUGUUUCAGCUAUUCAAAUGAAAAACUCAUUGAUUUGAGACUUCCUUCAUUAUUGUUUCUAAUUACAAUGCUAACGAUCCAGAUAAAAUAAUAUUUAAUCGGCGAAGGUGUCCCUUGGAAGUACAUCCUUCUUUUUCUUUUAUUAUAUAAAUUCUUGCAAUGAGCUUAGUCAAGAUGUUGUGCUAAUCAUGCCACUGCAUAUAAAUUCUCCAGAAGUUAAAAUCAAUAAAUUUUCUAUUAGCUCUAGUGCUUUGACCUAAAUGCUAUUCUAUAUUCUGAUUACAAUGUUUUAACCUUUAAAUUAACUACCCCUAGGUGUUGGAUUUUCUAGAACUUCAAAAUGAUUAAUGGAGAAAGAUCCCAUUAUCGUUAUUGCUAUAAGAAAUUGAUUUAUGCAUCCAAAGAUACAUUAUAUAUUUCUGUGUCUCUAUUUAUAGAUGACAUUUAAGCAUCCAUAAACCGUCAGACAGAGGAAGGGGGUUCAGUGCAAAGAUUCUGUUGACCUAGGGUUGACUGCAUAAUGUCACUUGUUCGCAAUCUAUUAUUUAUUUUAUAUUUUGAAGAAUUUAAUGGGUAAUCCUAAUUGUUUGUUUUGGCAGGUAUGUGUUGUUUUCUCCUUCUAUCUAACAGUCGUACCUAAAUAGCAUAGUUUCAUCUGUGUUACCAUGUGAUGUACAUAAUUUCACAUUUGCCUCAGAUUAAGCUUAAUUUCCCACAGAAUAGAGCUGUCGCGACUGGACUUAGGUUGAUGUCCAAAGAGGUAAAUUAUUGGCAUGCCUAGAUAAUUUGGCCAUUUCCUAAUUCAUAAGUCUACAUUAAUUUUGAUUUUGAGUUGACUGAUUUCUUUUCAAGGUCUGCUUCCUUAACGGAGUGACCAAUGUUUUUCAACUAAAUUUAUCAUAUGAUGCAGGAAGCAGGGCAGGAUAUGAAAUGAGAAGCUCAUUGGUGGAAGUAUUGCCAGUAACAGAACCCAAAGAAAAUGAAACUAUUUCAAGGCAGCAGUUGGCAGUUGCAAGUGAAUGGAGGCCCUGACAAAAUUCUCAAGCGGUUGCAAUGCAAUUACGAUCAUCCUCAGCCUCAGGUAAUUUCUUCUCCUGCUCUGUUUUUAUUUGUUAUCUAAUUAAAAAGCAUAAAGUAUCUUGAAUCACUUUCUCUAUCUGGAAUAUAUGCAGCAGUUUCUAAAAUCUUCAUAUGAGUGUAAUGAUGGUAAUUUCUGUUUUUUGUCUGUCAUUGAAUGUUAGACAACUUUCAGUGAGACUCUUGAACCGAGACAUUUUUGACAACUGAAGGACAAUUGCUGAAGAGUCGGAAUGGUGCUAGAUUGGGGAAUAAAGACAAAGGAGGUAAAUUAUUUGCAGUUUAUUCAGCAUUAUUUGCUUUGGACCAGCGCCUGAUUCACAAGUCUCCAUAAUUUGGCUUUUGACCAGUUAAUAAAUUUUUAAUUCCAUUGGUGCUAAAUGUACACGUGAAGCAGGCAGAGCAGGACUGUGGAAAUGAGAAGGUUUUUAGUGAAAGCUUAAACUCAGGUAAUUCUAAAAAGUACAUGUUUUUGCUGAUUUAUCUAAAUCAGGAAAUUUUAUUUCCAUCUGUUACAAGAUAAAACAGAAACAGAACACAAAGAAAAAUAUUCUACUUCUUGUGGCAAUCUUGCCUUCAUUCAGACAAUGAAACCAUUUCCUUUCACCAAUUUCUUCCAAAAGUUUGAAUAAGUUUCAUGGGUGGACCUAGUUAGCUUCUUUUUCUUUUGGUGCAUUUAGGUCCUAUCAAGUGACAGCCAUAAGUAUGAUUGCAUUAUUGGGAAAUUUUAGGUUUGGAUGGCUCCCCAUGUUAUUGCCAAGAAAGUCCUCAUGUCAGAAGCUGCGGUUCUUUUCAUCAGCCUGAACCCGAACCUGUCGUUAUGGAUAACUCAGGUUUUUGUCAUCAACUAUAUCAUCUUUUUUACUGUUUUGAAACUCUUAAGAUUAAACUUCAGUAAAGUUGUUUCAGUUAUCCAUGUAAUCAGGCUAAGGAUAUUUAGCAGCUUAUUUAGGCAACUGCCAGAAUUCAGUUUGUUAGCUCGAAACUUGUAUGGUGACAAGGAUACUGGCAAGGAUAGUGAGAUAGUUUUUUGUGUGAGUGAAAUUUGAAAGCUUGGGUGUUCUGGGAUUUGCAAUUGCAAUCAUCCUCUGAGUCAGGUGAUUUCUUCACCUGCUCUGUCUUGAUUUUCUCUCUAAUUGAAAGCAUAAAGUAUUUCAAUCAAAUUCUGUACCAGGAAUACGUAAAAGUUACUAAUAUUUUAUUUCCAUCUGUUUGCAUUGAUAACUCGGCGGCAUAUGUUCUAGUUAAAGAACAAACAGAAACAGAGUUCAGGAAAAAGUUUCUUCGGCCACCAUAUUUGAAAAUGAAACCAUUUCCAGGAAGCAGUUGGCAGCAAAUUCAUAUGGAGUGUAGACAAUGAUGAGCAAAAAGGUGAUUCGCAAUUUCUUUUUUUUUUUAAGUGAAAUUAUUUGUUAGAUUGAAGCUGAUAUUGUAAGAAGGCCAUUGAGCUAACCUAUGUCGCCACUUGCCUAGAUUGCAGGGGGUCAAGACUCAAAAGAAGCACUGAAAUUUAAAAAGCAUGCAAUAGUUCUUUUGCCAUGUGUCAAUUAAUGCAAGUUUGAAUAAGUUUAUUGGCUGAACGAUGUUAGCUUCUUUUCCUUUCGUGCACUUUGGUAUGCUAUCAAGUGACAGCCGUAUGUAUGGCUUGCAUAUAGCUGCUGCUGGGAAAAUUGACGAUUUCAUGGCUGGCCGUGUUAUUGUCUUAAAUUAGUUGUGAUAAGCUGUUGCUUGGAGAUUCUGUUGCCAAGAAUUUGCUCACAUCAGAAGCUGUGGAAUCUGAACCCUUCGAUUCUGUUGCCAAGAAUUUGCUCACAUCAGAAGCUGUGGAAUCUGAACCCUUCGUUAUGUAUCAUCUUUUUCAUUGUUUUAAAACAGUAAACUCUCAGGACACUGAGCAGGCAAAUGUUAUAACUCGGUUUGUUAGCCAAAAACUUGUUGAAGAUUCUUGACAAAGCUGCGUCGAGUGAAUUGUCGGAGCUCUGAGGGUGAGAGAAAUUAGAGGGUGUAUAGGGAUUUGGAUUUGUUAGGAAGUUAUCAUUUUUAUUUGUCCGAUUCAAAACUUGAUAUUCCAAUUAUAUUCAUAAGCUUCUACAGUUAUCUUCAAAAAGACAUUCCAAUUAUAUUCAUAAGCUUCUACAGUUAUCUUCAAAAAGACAAAUGGAAGGCUUUGAACGGCUUGGGUCUGAGUAUUGUAGUUUGAUUUAUUUUGAUGAAAGAACCUUUUGACAUUAAGAUUCUUUCAUGAGUUAAACAUUCUUUUUAAAACCAACUUAUUAAAAAAAAAGUAACGAACAUAUAUUAUUUUGUUAGUGCUUUUUAAAUCAAAUAUAAAAAAGAGAACUGUAAUUCUUAGCAACCAAUUUUUCAUUGAGUACACCUACAACAAAUUAUUAAAAAAUAAAGCGAUAGAAAAUGCCUGAUUUUUCGUACUUUCUAAUUACUUUUGGUCCUAAAAUAUGGCGAUUUGUGUAAUAAUAAGCCCAUGUAUAUCUUUAUGCCAUUAGUUUGAUAAAUAACUAUCAAGGAUAACUUAUUAAGCUAAAAAUAUUUGAAGGAUAAAAUGGGAAAACUAAAAGGGUGGAGUAAUAAAGUUAUUUAAGAUUACAUAGUAAGUUAACUAUAUUCGAGGGAUAAAAUAUUAAAACUUGAAUAGUUAUAUUAAAAAUAUCUCGGCUAUUAUACUAUUAAACCAUAUGCCGUAAUAAUGUUUUUUUUCAAACUUUAAAAAAUUCAGGAUUUUAAAUUAAAACAUGGAUUUCUUUAAGAUGCUAUAUGUGUUUUUACAGUAUUGAUAGUGGGAUUAGUGUGUACCCUUAUAUGAAAGAGUUUUAAUCUGAAUCAUUCAUUUAAUAUAAUAGAUAAUUAAAUAAUUAAUUAAAAUAUAGCAGGUAACUUAUAGGUUGCAGGUAAAAAAUUAAUUUUUUAAUUUUAAAUUAAAAUUAAUUUGGAACAAAACCAUCCACACCCCUAAGGUUUACUUAAAUGAUCAUAUAAAUCCCUUUAGUUUCUACAUAGUUAUACAGACCCUCUUAAUUUCAUAAAUUAUUAUUAUACUUUUAAUUAAAACAACCUAAAUGAAUAUAAAUAUAGUAAUAGGAUAGAAAUAAUAAAUAAAUAUCAGAUGAAACAAAUAAAAUAUUACAAUAAAUACAAUUAAUUAAAUAACAUGUAUGAUGAAAAUUUUAUUCAUAUUAAGUUAUUAUUAGUCUAUCCCGAUGGAUUUACUCAAAUCAAUUAAUCCAAAAUUUAAUUUUAAGAUUGAUAUUAAUAUGGACAUAAUUAAAUAAGAUGUUGUAAUAUAUACUACUUUGAAUGUUAAGUAUAAUUAUCUAAUAUUAUUAGUAUGUGAAAUAGAUUUUAAUAUUAUUAAAGAAUAUGACAAUAUAUAAUUUUGAAUUAAAUUUUUUAGUAUUCAUGAUAUUUUAUAAAUUUUAUGUGAUUUUAUAUAUUAUAUUUUUUAAUUUUAAUGUAUUAUAUAUGAUCAUUUAAGCAAAUUUUGGAGGUGCGGUGGUCUUUUCCCUAUUAAUUUUGUAGCAUAUUUAAAGUGUUAUAUCAUACAUGAUACAUCACACUUUUGUUAAAGUGUUAUGUUAUUAAAAAUUAAACUUUGCAUUUAUAAUAUACUACCAUUUUAAUGUAAAGGUAAUAGAAAAUAUGAAGAUAUUUUUAAGUAGUCAAUUGUAGCUUUCUUUUACAAAAUAGCAGUAUAGAAAUACAAUUGGUAAAAUGUAAUAAAAAUGGUAUGGAAAAAAGUUAGUAGAGGCAAUUAUUCUUGUAGUUGCUAAAACAUAUGAAGUGACACACACACACACACACAUAUCAAGUACUUGUAUGUUCCCCUAACUUUUAUUAAUGGGAAGGAAAUUAAAUUCGUAAUUUUCCCGGUGAAUUAUGAAUUGAUAAAUGAAAUAUAAAUAUUAGUAAAAAUUAAUUUGUCGACUAAAGAAGUAAACCAUAUUUUAUGGGCAUUUAAUACAUUAAUUUAAGGUCAAAUGAGAUAAUAUCACAUGAUAUUUGAUACAAGAGUCCAAUUUUCAACAUUUGCAUAUAGUUUCUAAGCUAGUAAUCUAAUAAAAUAUACCAAAUGAGAAAUUGAAGGCUAUUAUUUAUAUUUCACCAUUGGACAAACACCAUACAUUAGAAUAAAAAAAUCUCACAGUAGAGACGGCAUCUGUUUGCAUGUUUUGAAAAUAGAUUUUGAAAUUAGUUUAAUUACAUGAUAAUUAAAUUAUAUUAUAAAAUUAAGAAUAUGAUUUAAGUACUAUUUUAGCAAUUUUGAGUCUCACAUUGAGUAUUCAAGUUAAUUAAAUGUUGAAACUCUUUUCUAUUUGGCUUGAAAUCACUACUAAAUAAAAUUACAAAAAGUCAAUAAUGAAUGAUGUAGGACACAUAUGUAAAAUAAAUUUUAAAGUGUAAUUAAACAUUCCUAUCAAUAUUAGUUUUGCAUACAUAUUCAUAUAUUUUACCGAAACCAUAUAUAAUUAAAUUUUGUGUAAUUAAGUAAAAUAUAUUAUUCAAGUGAAUUUAUGAGAAUAUUUAAAAUUGUAGGGGUCGUCACUGAAAUUUGCCAAACUUGAGCCAACCGUGCAUGAUCCAAACAGUUUAUUUUAAUAAUUCUCAAUAUGUUAGUCUGUUUGACUGUUGGCAAAAUAAAUUCCUAUCAGCAAUGCAACACAAUUCAAAAUCAUAUCUGCAUACAACGAACAAUAUCUCAUGAAAGAUCAAAUUAUACAUUUUUUACACCAAACCAUAAAUAUCUAAAUUGUCCCUCUUCAACUCACCAAGCUCAUACCUAACAACAGCAAGAUUAAAUGUCAUUUGAUCCAUCUUUUUUAUUAAGCUUUAUCAAUUCUUCUCAUGGUUGCAAUUUUGAAAGCUCGCUUCGCUAUUUCCAUUUGCUUUUAUGCUUUGUUUGAGCUCCAUCUUUUCUCUCCAUCUACAUUUUACACUGUAAAAAAAAUUUUAAAAAAAUUACAAAGCUUCUUAUGCUAGAAUAUGAGCAACAAUAUAAAUAAUAAACAAUAAAGUUAUGAUAGCACAGCAUGCUCAUUAAAGUGCUUCUUUUUUUUUUUUUUCAACAAGAAAUUACUACUGAAUUAAAGAUUUGGCUUUGCAUUAAGGUUUGCCUUCAAUAACUCAACUCCCCACUUGGGUUUUGUCGUUUUCUUAAAAUCUCUGCUCAAUCAAUUUAAAGAUCCUUUUUUUUUUCUUUCCAAAGAUCUAAAAGCAAUGUCUUUUAUUGGUACCCAACAAAAAUGCAAGGUCUGUGAGAAGACAGUUUGUCCAGUUGAGCAGUUAUCUACUGAUGGGGUUGUUUAUCACAAGUCUUGCUUCAAGUGCUCUCACUGCACUGCAAAGGCACACUCAAGCUAAGCAAUUACUCAUCCCUGGAAGGUGUUCUUUACUGUAAGCCUCACUUUGAGCAGCUUUUGAAGGAGUCGAGUAACUUCAACAAGAAUUUCCAAUUACCUGCAAAGUCAGCUGAGAAGUUAACUCCUGAGCUGAAAAGGUCGCCUAGCAAAGUUGACAGCAUGUUCUCUGGGCCCAAUAAAAAUGUGCUUCUUGCAGUAAAACAGUGUGUCCGUGGGAGAAGGUAGCAGCGGAAAACCAAGCCUCUCACAAGACAUGUUUCAAGUGCUCACAUGGUGGUAAUUCCAUUAGCCCGUCAAAUUACGCAGCCCUAGAAGGCAUCUUGUAUUGCAAACAUAAUUUCUCCCAAUUGUUCAAGGAAAAAGGCAGCUACAACCACCUUCUAUCAAAUCUGCUUCCAUGAAGCGUGCUGCAGUCUCUGUUCAAGAAGCUUGAACAUGUUAUGUUAUCUUCCAUAAAUCUUAUUUGGCGUGGGUUUUCUCUGGCUUGAGGGUGUGCUUUCUAUUUUGAUCCCUCUUGUUGUUUUUGCGGGGAACUACCAAACCUUCGGUUCCCUCUGCUUCUUUGGAUCAUCUUUGUUGGGACAAAUUUCAUGUAAUUAGAGAUACUGAUUUAUGGGAGGCAUAAUCCCAUGGUUGUAAAUUGACCAUUUUCUGGCAAUGUUCUUUUUAAAAAGAGAUGAGCAGUUGUUUAACAAAAAAAAUAGCUGGCCUUCAUCAUGGUAUGUUACCAAACUGCUAUGUAUAGCUGCUAACUAUGAGCAUCCGAAAAUAUGGUGCAUCGUGAUUCAUGUCGUGCAAUAUGGCUACCAACGCAUCCUAAAUGGAGUAUUACUCAGUUAGUCAGCAAAAUAAGACAACAGUAAGAUAUUAAAAAAAUAAAAACUACAUUAAUAAGUGGGCAAGAUCAUGCCAGUUUAACUUUUCGCGCGUCGCUGCUGGAGAUAAUCAAAUCGGGGCAGAGAAAAGGAGAAUGGAAUCAGAGGCUAAGAUUAAUAAGUGGGCUUCUGCUUGCUUUGCCCCUCUUUCUUAAACGAUUGGUAGACUGCUGCUUCCACCGAUUAACCGGGUCUUCAACCACUGCUUUUAUUGCCUGCCAUCUUGUUGUUUGUCGAAGGGAUGAAUUCGAGUCGAAAAGAGAAAGCGCGCUGAAAAAGACAAAUCACUAGUGGUUAACUACUGACUCAGCCAAGUGUUGGCUUCACUUGAUUCACCGAUUGAGGUUAUUUUGUCUUCUAUCUAAUGCAGCGAAGAAGCUUUACUGCUUAACAUGCUGCAAUGCAACUUUAUCUUUUGAAGUUCACACUUCAGGGCUGCGCACUUUAUGUAAUCCUAUGAGUAAAAAGAAUUUAUUUUCAAAUGUGAAAAAAGAAAAUGUAAGGUAGUAACUAAAUAUAUUAUAGCAUCAAAGUAAGAUUUGAUAUGAAUUUAGUACAACAAAGAACAUUAAAUCUGUGAUUCCUUGUCUAAUGUCACCAUCGAGCAACAAAUUUAAAAGCCUACCUAUCAAAUACACGAGGCAAUAAACGGAGAAAAAGUUGAAUUACAAGAACAAGUUUACAAUUCUUGUCAAUGGUUAAUGAUUCGUGAAUUGAGAUAGCAUUCAAGAAUCCAAUUUCAAUACAACAACGUAAAAGAUAAACAGAUGAUGAAUUUUAUGAGAUAAAGAAGGAGAUUGUGUUUUAUCGUAUCUCUAUUUUCUUUCCAUUUAAAUUUAAAAUAAGCUUUUCAACCGGUUAUAAUAUUUUUUGAAAUAAUUAAAUAUUUUUAUUAUUAAAAAUAAUGUGUACCGUUGAUUACAUCUAACGCUACAUAUUUCUUACACUAUUAAUACCGUAAAAAAAAUCAUAGAGGGACCCUUAAAACAUUUUCAUUUGAAAUUAUUUGGUGAAGUGAAAAAGUUAAGAAAGAAAUAGUUGUCCCUUUGGUCAUUUCACAAAAAUGAAAGCCCCAUAUAACAUGGACUUGAAUGGAAGCCCAAUUGUUGUGUUUGAUUUCAAGCUUUAUCGGACCUUUGGACCUGGAUACUUUACUGCGGCCUCUAAGCGCUACAAAUUUUUUUUUUGGGAUAAAAGGCGCUUCAAUGAAAAAGCACUUUAAAACUUUGGAUUUUGCCAAAACUUCAAAGCGGUUGGUCCAGUUACGGUGUUAUGCUAACGGGUUUAAAGGUUCCGAUCCAAUGAGUUAGGGUGGAAUAUGAAUAUAUAAAUCCUAGUCAUGUAAGGACUAGGAUUUGUUUGUUCAUAUCAAGAAAAAAAAUCUGAAAAUUUGAUGAUCAGAAGAUAAAAACACUUAAACACGUUUAUUACAGAGAAACAAACGACAACAUGAUGCUAGUAGUAAUUUUAUUUUUCUUUUAUUGUGUAACGUGGACCAAAAAAAAGGAAAUGAAUUUAAUAAAACCGUCAUUCCGCAAUAAUAAUGUACCAGCCUGGUUUUUAUAAUCCAUACCAUCCUGAUAUAAUUAAACACCAUUAAUAAUGUACCAGCCUUUAAAUAGUAAUUAAUUUAUUUAUCUAAUUCACCAAAUGUCAUUUCCGGUACAUAUCUCCUGGUAUCAAGAAGAGGCAGAACCCAAAGAAACGUUUCUUGUAUCUUCAUAUUUGUGCGAAUUCAUCCUUUCAUUGAGAAUAACCAUUUCCAGGCGGCAGUUGGCAAUCAAUUCAUGCGCAAGUCGAUGCUAUUCAUAGAUAUUAAAGACAAUGAUGAACCAAAGGUGAUAAAUCAUAAAUGCAUAAUUACCAAACCUCCAUCCUUCUCUCAUUAUGAUUUGAUUUUAAAUGAAUUAUUGCUUGGUAACAUUAUUUCCAACCAUUGCAAGAUUAUUAUUAUUUUUUUUUGGGGAGAAAUUUCAAUUGAAAGUGAAACCUUUAGACAUUUACCUAAUGAAGUUAGUUAAUGGGGAGGGUUGGAAAAAUUCCCAAGCCGUUGCACAGCAAUUACGAUCAUCCUCGGCCUCAGGUAAUUUCUUCUCCUGCAUUUUUGUUAUUUGCUAUCAAGUGACAUUCGUAAGUAUGAUUGUAUUAAGCUGCUGCUGGGAAAUAUAAGGUUUUGAUGGCUGCCCAUGCUAUUGUCAGAAGCUGCGGUUCUUUUCAUCAGCCUGAACCUGGACCUGUCGCCAUGGAUAACUGAGGUUUUUUUUUUUUUAAAUCAACUACGUCAUCUUUUCCACUGUUUUGAAACUCUUAAGAUUAAACUUUAGUAAAGUUGUUUUAGUUAUCCAUGUAAUCAGGCUGAGGAUACUUAGCUGCCUAUUUAGGCAAAUGUCAGACUUUAGUUUGUUCGCUGGGAACUGGUGUGGUGACAGCGUCCUGGCAAAGGAUGAUGAGAUAGUUUUUUGAUUGAGUAAAUUUUGGGGGCUUGAGUAUAUUGGGAUUUGCAAUUACAAUUAUCCUCUGCCUCAGGUGAUUUCUUCUCCUGCCCUGUCGUUGUUUGUUCUCUAAUUCAAAAUUAUAAAAUAUUUCAUCAAAUUUUAUGCCGGGAAUAUGCAAAAGUUUCUAAUAUUUUAUUUCCAUCUGUUUGUCUUGAUAACUUUGCAGCAUAUGUACUAGUUAAAGAACAAAUCGAAACAGAGUUCAGUUAAAAGUUUCUUCUGCCGUCAUAUUUGAAAAAUGAACCCAUUUCCAGGAAGCAAUGGGCAGCAAAUUCAUAUAAAGCGUAGACAAUGAUGAGCAAACAGGUGAUUCACAUUAAUGAAAUUAAUUGUUUGGUUGGAGCGGACAUUGUUAGAAGGCUAUUGAGCUAACCUAUGUCACUACUUGCCUAGAUUACAGGGGGUCAAAACUCAAAAGCGGCAUUGAAUUUUAAAAGGCAUCCAAUAAUUCUUGUGGCCAUAUAUCAAUUCAUGUAUGUUUGAAUGUAAUUAUUGGUGAAGGGGUUUCACUUCCCGUCUCUAAAUAAAAAUACUGAUUCUUUAAGGUACCUGCCACUAGGGAUUGCGAGAUUAAUGAGUCUUUGGACAUUGGAAGAGCUCCUUGUGAGUGGAGGAGGAGGUGUUGAUGGUAGCAAAGCAUGUGGGCAGUGGGCUUGAAUCUCUAAAAAACUUGGAACUCCUCCAAGCGUAAGUAUACGUAUACUGGGAAAUUUGUUAGAUGUGGAUGAGGCUAAGAGAUUAGAGCUUGACAAAAUGAAAUACCUCUUUCAUUGAGACUUAAAUUUGAUGGGGAAGAAGAAAAAGAAGAGGGAAGGAGGAAGAAUGAGGAUAAUCAACUUGUUCUUGAAGCCUUGCAACCACCUCUGAAUUUGAAGGAAUUAGAGAUUUGGUCAUACAGAGGCAACAUUGUUUCCCCCCGGAUGAUGCAAAAAUUGAAGGAAUUUACCAAUCUAAGGAGUUUGACACUCUUUAAAACUGCAAAAAUUGAGAGCAGUUGCCUCCUUUGGGAAAAUUGUGAUCCUUUGAAAAUCUCAGCAUAUUGUACAUGGAGAGUGUGAAAACAGUGGGUAAUGAAUUUCUGGGAAUAGAAAGUCAUCUUCAUGACUCAUCUCCAUCUUUAUCAGUUAUUAUUGCCUUCCCCAAAUUGAAAUCACUUUCAGUUGAGGGAUUGAUGGAAUUGGAGGAGUGGGAUUAUGGGAUUAAAAGAACAGGAAACACCUUCACCAACAUUAUGCCACGUCUUUCUUCCUUGGAAAUUAGUGUGGGGUUAUGGGAUCGCACAACCACGUUGAAGGUAUUGCAGAUUGUGGCAUGUGGUACUCUAAGAAGACGUUGCAGACAGGGGAGAGCAGAAGACUGGCCUAAGUUCUCUCACAUUCUAGACAUCAUGAUUGUGUGAAAAGAGGCCCUUGACAAAAUUCUCUAGGCGGCUACAUGGAGUACAAUCAUAAAAUGCUAAUGUGGCCACCCUGGUUCUUAAUUAAGGUUGUGAAAUAUUAUUGUAAAAGAUGAUUAAUUCAAUUUGAGUCAUUCGUUUGCUUUGAUAAUGAUAGUAAUUUUAUAUUUUGACAAUUUGCAAGGUGAGAAUGGUGCUGAUUGGUGAUACAGGAUACGGUUCAAACACCAUUGAAUAAAGCUACGGACAUGGUGGCUCAACUUAGCUAUUGCUGUCAAAAUUGGUAAGUUGGCUUGUCAAUGUAUUGAUGCUUUUGUUUUCUCUCAACCCUAAUUACCUUACCUUCAUUUAGUUUGGCUUUGGAGUUGAGUAAUAACUUUCAAGGUUCUCAAACAGAGCAGGACAACCGAAAAAAAAAGCUUAAUUUGCUACUGAUCACGUGUUACCAAUUAUUAAGGUAAUUCUCGUUUACUUGCUUCUACACUAUAGAGUACGUGUUCUGGCUGGUUUAUCUAAUUCAUCAAAUGUUAUUUCCUUAUUGUUCCAUUGAUAUAUUUGUUAGAAAGUGAAACCAUUUCCAGGCAGCAGUUGGCAGUGAAUUCAUGCAAAUGUUGAUGCCAUUCAUAGAUAUUGAAGACAAUGAUGAGCCAAAGGUGAUAAAUCAUUAAUGCAUAGUUACCAAAACCUCCAUCCUUCUCUCAUUGUAAUUUGAUUUGAAAUGAAUAAUUUCUAGGUAAUUGAAGCCAAUAUUGUUAGAAACGGUGUUGAGCUACCCAAGCUAAGAAGUUGGCUGCCAAAAAAUGCAGGGGAUCAAAAGAAGCAUUGCAUUUGAAAAGGAAUGAGAUUCUGGUUGCUACAUGUCAAUUCGUAGAAGUUUCAAUAAAUUUAAUGGUUCAAGAUUUUAGUUUCUGUUUAAAUUUGUGCUACUGCAGUGCUGCAGUGCUGCUACUGGGAAAUUUAAAUCCCAUAUUAGACUUUCCUCACAUAAGAAGCUGUGGAUCUUCGGACAUCAGGUUUUUUCACAGUUCUGAAACUCUCAGGAUUAAACUCUAUUAAAGUUGUUGUAGUUGUCUACGUUCUCAGGUCAAGGAUUCUAAGCUGCCGAUUAAGGCAAAAUGUCAGAAUUCCCCUAUUAUUUUUUUUUUCAUGUAAAAUUAUGUUGUUGUCUUCGCCCAUGAAUCUUAGCUAAAUUCUGAACCAAUUGUUUGCUAUUAUAAAUUUCAUUGUUAAAUAUUAAUUGUGAUGUUGGUGUUGAGUUUCUUUUAAAGUCAGAGAAGCCUGACGAUUGAGUUCCAUGGGAUUCUGAGAAGCAGUAAUAUUUUGAACAAGUGAAGGUUCUUCGUUUUUACAGUAUGUGCAGAUGUCUAAGAGGCAGGAUUUUUAUUUCUGUAAUGCUAAAUUUCGCAAAACAAUAAAAAUAAAUAAAUGCAUGACAGUGACUUCAAGAAUUUAGAUUAUUGAAUUUGGUCAUUUUAAAAUUGUUGGAAUGUUGAACUUAAGUAAUUUUUAUAAACCAGAGCUCAGAAAUGUAGAAUAUAAAUAUUGGAGAUUUGGACUUCAAUCAUUAGACUUGAAGCUAAAGAGGUAAGCCAUUAAUUAUAUCAAAGGAUUUGGAAAAUGGAGGGAUUGGAAAAAGGAAACAUUUUCAUAAACUUCAAGAGGAACGUCACAGAAAGGGGUAAAGAGAAGAGUAGCCUAAGAUAUUAAAGACAAUGUUGAGCCAAAGGAAACAUAAAUCCCAACCAUUGCAUGUGAACAUGAUCACAAUAAGGUCAAAAACCAUUUUUUUGAGAAUUUUCAAUUGAAAGUGAAACCUUUUGACAUUUACCUAGUAAAGUUAGUUAAACGAGAGAAAUAAAGGGGAAAAGAAAAGUUGACUCAAGUCAAUACAGAAUAAUUAGUUCAAUCUGGAGUAACUAAAACAGAGCCACUAUAUUUUCAAAAAUAUCUGCAUUCAUCACCUUCUCCUCCAGCUAGUGAGCUACACACGAAUCCUUUCCUUUUAGCAUUUUUGCAGCAUCAAUUUCUCCCCUCGUUUGUCAUCAAUUUCUCCCUUCGUUUCACCAAUACCAUGGCUGAUGCAAUCGUUUCCCCUCUCUUGGAGCAGCUGAUUAUCUUUGCUGCUGAAGAGUUGAAACAACAGGGGAAGCUGGUGAGUGUUGGAUGAGUGGAUCACAGCAUGCGCCAAAUCGCAAAAUAGAUCAAUGCUCUUGGUGCUCCUUAUCUGAAGAAGAAGGUGCAAAUUGGGAGCUGCAUUUCACUGUCAUAACAUUUAUUGUAAUUUCAUUUGGAGAUAUGUAAUAUCUGUUGUCCAGAUACAUAUCAUACACCAGUUGCUAUGUAAUUUCGUUUAGGUUCAUUUUUGUUUCUUAAGAGUUUGUAAAAAGAAUGGAAAGAUUUUAAAAUAUAAAUUUCAUAUCUGUUUAUUACUGUUGUUUGGUCUAAUUUCUUAUGUAGAAUUUUCAGAAUCUGUAGGACAUUAGUUUAUAAUUUUGAGAUUUUGCAGCCAUAAAAAAAAUUUUUUUUUUUUGCCAUUUUAUUUUGCUCCUUUAUCUAUGUGCAUGUUGACUGGCUGCAGUGAGUGAAAAUUUACCUAUAUAUGCUGGCUAUUCUUGGACAAUAUUAGAGAAAAUAAUCAUAUUAUUUCGCGUGAUGUGAACUUCCAUAACUUAUCAAUUGAAUUGCUGUAAAAUAUUAAAUAGUUUUAUUUUUCUUUUAUCGUGUAACUUGGACCAAAAAAGGAAAUGAGUUUAACACGACCCUCAAUAUAACCUCCAUUUCAGCACAAUACAUGUUAAUUGUUCCCCAAGGACUUCUCCUGUUUCCCAUUCCCACCUCCAUGCUCUCGAGAGGAAUUUAGCACCCAUCAAUUUUUAUUUUUGAAAACUCGUAAUGGUCUGAUAAAAUUAAACAACAUCAAUAAUGUUACCAGUCUUUAAAUAGUAAUUAAUUUAUUUAAUUUGCCACCUAAAAGAAUCCUGCUGGAAAUAGAGGUUAAAAAUUUUAUUAGAUCUGCUUACCUUUGUUCAUUCAGCAAAAACACUUACAAUUCACAGCUAGAGAAUCUAUCCAUUGACAAUUGUGGAUUAAAAUUAUAACACCUGAAUUCAAACAUAUCCUUAUGAAGUUAUGAAUUUGUUCAUACUUCAAAUGAUUUUUUUUUCCAAGCUAAUAAAGCAACCACUUUGAUCAAACGACGACGUUGAAGGAAUUACGUAUUUUCAAUGUCCUUUUCCAGACAGAUGUUGGAGAGAGGGAAAGGAGAAGACUGGCCUAAUUAAGAUAUCUCACAAAGAUUAUUGAGUUAAAAUGUUAUUGUAAAAGAUGUUUAAUACAAUAAUAGUAAUUCUUUUGCAUUGUUAUAAUGAGGCUGGUGGGUUUCCUCAGAGGAUGGAUAUGGCUCGCUAGCAUGCAUUUGGGAAGAUGCUAAUUAUCGGCCAUAAAAAGUCAGGGGGUUGUGGCUCUUCCGUCGCCCAGAAAUUCCUAAACUCAUAUAUCAAACUUCAGAUGAACUUGGGCAUUAUGUAAAUAUGUAUUUUUGAGAAUUAAACUAGUGCGUUCGAAAAAUUUUGAGCCAUUGUAAUCAUUUUAUUUUGCUAAGAGAAAAUUUUACUUUGUUUCGCUUUGCCUUUUGUUUUUUCUGUGAUAAUAUGAUUCAUACGAAUGUGAUUACACACUAUCAUGCAUCUAUUUUCAUUUGCUUGUCAUGAAUGGUCAACAUGCUCGAAAUAUUUACUUAGGUUGGAAAUAUUUGAAUCCACUAAAAUACUAUACAAACCCAUUUUAAAAUUAAAAAAAUGAUUAUCAUAAUACUCGUGAAGAUAACACGAUAUCAUACAUAAAAUAAAAUAUUUCGCAAAAAAGAUAAGAUACAAAUCUUGAGUAAAUAGGUACAAAAAAUAUUUUAGUGGGUUAAGUAGCACUAAUGCCCCCUUAUCAAAAAAUAAAUAAAAAUAACUAGUCUGAUUGGGUAUACCGUUUAUAUAUAUGUACAUAUUCUUGAUAAUGUGUAAUGUACAUUAUAGACAAAGAUUUUGAAAGCAAUAUUUUUUAAAAAGUCGAGAGAAUAGGAAAAGUCUAAAUCAAUUUUCUAAUCUCUACCUCCUUUAUGAUUUAAACUUUAGUGUUUAGUGUCGCGAGCCACUCAAAUUUUCUAAUCAAAGAGACUAAAUUGCACGAAAUUGUGCUAGCUUAUUUGAUUCUAGAAAUUUCUACUACACUGUAACACACUCUCACGUAGGGAUGGCAAUGGGGAGGGGAGGGGAGGGGACCAAUCUCCCCAUAUCCAUCCCCGAUAUUUUACAUAUGUCCCCGUCCCCGUCAGAAUUGCUUGAGAGAAUCCCCAUCCCCUCCUCGAAUAAUAACAGGGGAUCCCCGAGGGUCCCCGGUCCCCGAAUAACUAAUAAUCUAAUACAUUUUUUUAUUUUCGAUUUUAAAUUAAUCAUAUUAAAAUAAACUCAUACCGCUAUUGUAAGCUCGUAACCAAUUUUGACAGCACAUUAAGGCCUCCAAUGUGCUUGGAUGAAGUCUGUUAUGGUAUGGGCUCACAACUCUACCACUAGUGUUAAAAGCUGAUUCAGAAGCAACUGUUGUAAUUGGAAUUGCCAAAAUAUCUCUAGCAAUUCGAGCUAAUGUAGGAUACCUAUUAGCAUUUGUCUUCCACCAACUCAAAAUAUUAAAAUCUUCCAUCCGAGGUAUAACUUUCUCAUCCAAAUAUGAAUCUAAUUCAUCUGCAACAACUGCACAAUCUCCAUUGUUUACAUAAUCAUCAAAACCUAUCAUCCAUUUGGUUGCUUUCUUAUAAGAAUCCCCUGUAGAUCUAGUAGAAGAACUACUACCAGUAUAAUCAAAGCAAUAAACAGUUGGUGAAAACUUCAAUUAAUACUCUUCAACUAAUUCCCGGCAAAGGAUGACCACUUUCCCAACAUACAACUAUUUUGAUAUUUAUUAUUUUUAACAAUAUUUAUAAUUUUGUUAUUUAUUUAUUAGUAAUUUUAAAAAUAAAAAUAAAAUUAAAAAUUAAAAUGGGGAAAUGGGUAGGGGAUGGGGAUUCCACCUCAUCCCCGUCCCCUCCCCGAAUAAAAAAUUGGGUAAAAAAUUUUCCCCGUCCCCUCCCCGAAAAAAAAAUUGGGUAUAAAAUUAUCCCCGUACCCUCCCCGAAUGGGGAAAAUCCCCGAGGGUAUCCGUCCCCGUGGGGAUUUUUGCCAUCCCUACUCUCACGCUUGUACAUACCUCGAAAUUCUCUAGAAUUUACUAGAGUAGUGUUGCAUGUAGCUUGUACAUAGGUUUUUCUGGAACACUCCAGGCAUUACUAAGCAUGAGAGCCUUGAGAACUCUCUAGCCAUAAAACAUUCUAGGGUAAGCCUACCCUAAAAAUAGGGCAUGAUGCUUGCCACUUGAGCAUACAACAAGUAAGAACAAAUCAAGCAUACUUGUGAGCUCUCAAACUCUCUUAUACACACUUUUAUGAAUAAUAUAUUCUCUCUUUGGCUAUAUUGCUCUCUCUUCUCUCUAGUUUUUUUCGCAAGCAUCAAACCUUAGUUAGUCGAAAAAUUCAAGGCUUACUUUAUAGCUAUCUCGUAAAAGUUGUUUAAGUACCAUAGAGAUUUGCUGUGCAAAAUACUCAUCACAUGACAUUAGCUAAAUAAAAUUGUUUGAAAGCCACUUACCCAAACUAUUAAACGAAUAUUGACUUUUGUCUUAAUUUUCUAUCUCCUACGAUAAAUUUUAUAGUUAAAAAUUGAAAAAAAUUAAUAACUAUUAGAUAGAGCAUUCUUUAUUGUUAAAAGAAAUCUAUAUAGAUAGAUAGAUGGUAAUAUAAAAACUUACUUAUUGUAGUAUAAUGUUUUUAGUUUUUUGAAACACAGAUUCUCACUUUUUAAAGAUAAAAUUCAAAGAAAACAAGUUAAAUGUUGUAGAAAAUCUUCCAGCCAUACAAGAAAUUGUGAUGGCUAAAUGCAAACCUAACUAAAGUAUUAGUUGUUUUAUUACAAUCUCCAAAAAGAUGAGCAAUUCCAAAAUCUUUUUUUGUGACAAUAAACACUACACGUCAGUAAUUAUCCAGGUCAAAAGCAAGCUACUCUAUUAAAAAAAAAAAAAACUUGCAGUGAAUUCGAAGAUAAACCAAUUUUACUAGCAAGUUGGAUACAAAAGAGUAGGGCUUCGGCCUCAAUUACUCAGUGUACCAACAACUCAAUCUCGGUGAGUUAAAAUCAACUUCCAUCAGUCUUUUAUUUGUUGAUAGAUCGAUUAAGGUACCAAAAAGAAUAAUUAAAGAUGUAUUAGUUCAAGUUAAUAAAUUCAUAUAUCUUGUGGAUUUUAUUAUUUUGGAAACUGAACCAAUUGCUAAUGAAUGCAAACAAAUUCCUGUUACAUUGGGUCGUCCAUUUUUAACUACUGCUAAUACAUUGAUUAAUUGCUGGAAUGGAGUAAUGAAUUUAUCUUUCGGCAACAUGACAUUGGAACUUGAUGUGUUCAACAUAUGUAAACAACCUCACCACCAGGAAGAUGAUGAUAAUGAGAAUUAGGAGAUUGAUUUCAUCGAGCCAAUCAUUGAGGAACACAUUCAGAAUAAGAAUUUUACAAAUUCUGUGGAAAUUUAUUCUUCUUGUUCUUUUGAAUCGAGUAAAGAAUUAAAUUAUGAUACUGCUAACAUAUAACCUACAAUUGAUUCUAUGCAGGUACAUGCUGACAAUGGCCAAUCAAACUUUAAAGAUACAGAACAACCUGAAGAACCAAACGAAGAGCAAGUACCAGAGCUCAAAUUAAAGCCCUUACUGGAAGAAUUGAAGUAUGUCUAUCUUGGAGAACAACAGAUUUAUCCUGUGGUAAUUUUUUUCCCAACUCACGCUUGAUCAAGAAGGUAAGUUGUUGUCUGUACUAAAAAGGCAUAAAACUGCAUUUGGCUGGACUUUAAAAGACAUAAAAAACAAUAAUUCUUUAAUCUGCACACACCGAAUACACUUAGAGGAAAAUACCAAAACAACCCAUCAACAUCGACAUUAUAUGUGUAAACAUUAAAUACCAAAAUCAACCCCAAAAACUAUAAAUAAAAUAUCAUGAUUAAAAUGAAGUUUUUUUUUAGAUAUUCGUUGUAGUAUCUCUUUAGAUCGCAAACAAGAGAUAAAAUAAAUAAAUAUUUGCUAUGUAAAUAAAAAUAAAUAAUUUUUUUUAACUGAAAAAUAUUCUCAAAAACUAAAUAGUUCAAACUUUUUUUAACAUCAUGUGUUUCUAGGGUUGGGCAUUCAGUUCGGUUUUUACCGAACCGAACAACUAAAUUAAAUCGAAAUUACCUGUUCGGUUCAAUUGAAUAGACAAAAACCGAAGAGUUUAUAUUUUCAUGAACUGAAUGAUUUGUGUUUCAGUUGAGUUCGGUUCGAUUCUGGACCUGAACCGAACCGAACCGAUCCGUGAAUCGUAAACUGCCCACCCUUACGUAGUAGUUUCCGUUAACCGACGUUGUAUUGCUCGUAUAAAAUUGUUCAAAUGUUCAAAUCACAGUCUCCCGCUCUCAGCUCAGUCAGAGUUUCCAGGUCCAGAGACUUCCCGCUGACUGAGAACUUUUUCGUAGCAGGUCUACAAAUAAUGGAGUAGAGCUGAUUUUAUGAUUAAUUUAUUUCCUUUUUCAAUUUCUCUUGAUUGCGAUUUAAUCUGGAAAGUUAAACGUGAAUUGUUUAGUGCGGAUUAAAUGUUCGACGAAUUUCCCACAAGAGUAUUAAGUUCAAGAGAAAAAAAGAAAACAAUUGAGCGUGAGCGUGAGCGAGAAUGGUGUUUGGGCAAGUGGUGAUUGGUCCGCCCGGCUCGGGAAAGACCACUUACUGCAAUGGCAUGUCUCAGUUUCUCAGCCUUGUUGGCAGGUAACUUCGUUUCUUGAUUUCAAGCAGCUUUAUCUUCGAUGACCAAAAAUAUUGAUUUGGGCUUUGCCAUUAAAUGAAUGUAAGAGCAGUAGGGAAUAACUGAGUUAUAGGAUUAGCUUUAAGUGAACAUUGAUGGUAAUGUGAAGGUUGUAUGUGUUCAGUGGCAAGCUGUAUGCCAAUUUGGUCUAUAUGGUUGCUUAGGUAGUAACUUAUUAAUUUUUAGGCAGGAAGGUUGCAGUCAUCAAUUUAGUUCCUGCUAAUGAUAGUUUGCCGCAUCCUUUGUCAUUGAACUUUCUUACAAAUGCUGUGGUUUGUUGUAGUAUAAUUAGUUCAAUUGGAAAUUUCCUUGAUGUUAAUAUAGAAAUGAGUGUGCUGUGAAUAUUGAGGACCUCAUUAGACUAAGUGAUGUGAUGAUGGAGUAUUCACUUGGUCCCAAUGGAGGUUAGUCAGCCUAUUGUUGUUUACUCUUUCUUGCUUUAUCACGCAAUGAUAUUCCUUUGCUUUACAACAAAUUUCAUGAAAUUAACUUCAAUCAAGUGGCAAUGUUCAUACGCUGUUGAGAUUUUAUGGACAAUGAUUUGGUAGAAUUUAUAUGCCGUCUUCUUUCUUUUUGCAGUGAUAUGCUUGUAUUCAAUGAGCUUGUACUUAUUCUAUGGUUUCUAAAGUAGGUGUUUUUAUGAUAAACUAGGUCUUGUGUAUUGUAUGGACUAUCUAGAGAAGAAUAUUGACUGGCUGCAGUCGAAAUUGGAACUACUUUUGAAAGGUAAGUAGAGGCCAUUUUCCUUCAUUCUAAUGCCAAUAAUGCUGUCAUGAGACUCAUAAAAAUUGUUAAAACGUUAAUGUUUUUGGUAUUUUGCAGAUCGUUAUCUUCUGUUUGAUUUUCCUGGCCAAGUUGAAUUAUUUUUUCUUCAUUCCAAUGCCAAGACUGUUAUAAUGAGACUCAUAAAUAAGUUAAAUCUCAGGGUAUUGUUACAUCUUACAUCUAUGAAGGGACUCAAAGAGUUGAGAUGAAUUCAUCUUUGUUAUUUUGAUGCCAGAAUUGUGCAAUUCUCAGUUUGUUCCUUUCACAUGCAGUUGACUGCAGUGCAUCUAGUUGAUGUGCAUCUUUGCAGUGACCCCAGGAAGUAUGUUAGUGCUUUGCUUCUCUCAUUGUCUACGAUGCUACAUCUGGAACUUCCCCAUGUCAAUGUCUUGUCUAAUCGAUCUGAUUGAGAAUCAUGGAAAGCUAGGUGUGGUUUUAAGUGUAGCUCUCCUGCUUGUUUGUUUAGUUUGAAAUAUCAGAUAUUGUCACAAGAUCCUAUUUGCUACAUUUCCUCACCAAUCAAUUAUUUUGGGUCUGUUGCAGCUUUUAAUCUCGAGUACUAUACAGAUGUGCAAGAUUUGUCAUAUUUACAGCAUGCUCUCGGUCAGGACCCUCGUUCUGCUAAGUACAGGUUUGAAUUCUAGCUGAAUCAAUGAUGCAAAUUAUGUCCAUUGUUAUUUCUGCUGUUGUUUCUAUCAUUUUCAAUUGUUACUUCCCCUUUCCAUCUACUACCACACUACAAUACCCACACAAAUGUUGUGAAAUUUGUCAAUGGAAAAAAAACAGUUCCUCUUUUAUUUUGAUCAGACUCAAUGAAUAAGUGGUUAAAAUGUGCCUGUCCUAGAAAUAUAGAUGUGUGGUUUCGUAAAAUUUUCUUGAUCUUAAGAAAGAGUUAUCUCGAAAAGAAGAUAACAUGGAGAAUUCAACAACUAUACAGUCAUAUUGAUGUCUGUCAACUUGGGUCAUAUGGUGUCGUUUGGAUGGAGAUGUUAGGUCCCAGAUGGUAAACUUGUUAUCGAAUUCCAGUCUACUUCAUUCAUGCUUUGAUGACAUAUACGGUGCAGCUUCUUAUCUAAGACCUGCAUAUGUUCAAUCAUCAUUCUGUUCUGUAUUUGGCUGCCAUUCUUUUCAAUGAAUUCAAACCACUUCUGAAUACUUGCAAAUUCAUCCAGUGUUGUCAUUGAGAUGCCAAUAUGAAAGGAAGCCAUAAUUGCCCUUGAUAGUAUGCUUAUUGAUUGCCUCUUGCCUCACUCAGCCUCAUGAAUCUGCUUGUAUGGUGUUCUUGUAAUUUCAUUUGGAGAUUAGUAAUAUCUGUUGUUCAAAUGUAUUUUAUAUACCAGCAGUUAAUAAUUCUGCUUGCAGAAAGCUUACAAAGGAGCUGUGUGAUGUAAUUUUUCAACCUUAGAUAUCCAGGUCAUCAGUUUCUCUUGAAUUCUUUCUUGAAUUUCUUUGAAUUAUUUGUGAAUAAGAUCUUAGUUGGCUGCUUCUCUUCAGGAUAAGGAAAGUGUGGCAAAACUCGUGAAGCUGAUAUAUAAAAGCAAUGGGUACAUCUUUGCUGGCAUGGAUGCCAGUGCAGUUGAAUUCAGCAAGAUUGCCGUUCGCGAUGUUGAUUGGGAUUAUUUCGGAUAUCCUUCUUUUCACCUAUUUUCAAUGUUGUUAUUCUCAUAUUCAUAAAAUUUUUUGGUUAUUUAAUUAUGGUUCAUCAUAUGCAUCUGCAUCUUCUAACUUGUUCGUUUGAGAAACUAAUUUUGCCGUUAGGUAGGCUUCGAGCUUGAUGAGUUGAUUCAUGCUUUUUUCAUAAAUGUACCAAAAUCAUGGAAACUUCUUUUUCCCAGAUAUUGUAUCCACACUUUUUCCAUGUAAUUGGGUCAGACAAGUUUUGCUUAACAAAGAUAUCUACAGUAGCCGAAGUGCAGGAGAAGUACAUUAAGGAUGAUGAUGAUGUUAACUAAAAUGAGACGUGAAGAUAUGUGGUGUGCGAACCGUAAGCCUGCCUCUUAAUUUUGUGCAUGUUUACUUGCUUGUGAUUCACGUUUGUUAAUCUAUUUUGCUCUCUUGCAGGAGUUAUAAAGUUUUCAAUCAAUCAAACAUUUAACUUAAGUCCUUACCUCUUGCUGCAAAGACAAUGGGAAGUCUCAUGAGCUCUAAAAAAACUGAAGAAGAGUGGAAAAUAAUUUUAAAUAGUGAUUUAUGGAAGGUAAAAGAGAUCGAGAAAGGUGUUCUAACCCCUUUGUGGUUGAGUUAUAAUGAUUUGCCGUCCAGAGGAAAAAGAUGUUUCUCGUAUUGUGCUGUCUUUCCAAAAGACUACAAUAUAAAAAAAGACAAAUUAAUUACUUUGUGGAUGGCUCAAGGUUAUCUUAGUGCAGAAGCAGCAGAACAAGAUGAGGAGUUGGAGACUAUAGGUGAAGAGUAUUUUGGCAUCUUAGCUUCUCGCUCUUUCUUUCAAGAGUUUCAGAAACGUUAUGAUAAUCGUAUUAUAGCGUGCAAGAUGCAUGAUAUGGUACAUGAUUUUGCCCAAUUUGUUAGUCAAAAUGAAUGUUUUUCGUUGGAAGUUAAUGGUAGUGAGGAACUAACCGUCACAAACUCUACAAACUCUCUUGAUGAGAAGGUCCGUCAUUUAAUGUUAAUCUUUAGUAAAGGGACUUCAUUACCUGUUUCCACUCGUAGAGUUAAAAGAAUGCGUACCCUCUUAAUUAACGAUAGUAGAUCUGAUCAUUCAUUAUUAAAUGGUGAGAUCCUAGAAGAAUUAUUUAGGGAAUUGACAAGUUUAAGGGCAUUAGAUUUUGGCAAAUCGUAUAACUCAAGUUGGUCUUCGACUGUGGAGAUUCCGAGAACCAUAGAAAAGCUGGUACAUUUAAGAUACCUUAAUUUGUUUUAUCAGGGAAUAAAGAAACUACCGGAGACAUUAUGCGAGUUGUAUAAUCUAGAAAAGUUAGAUAUUAGUUUAUGUUUUAAUCUUAAAGAAUUACCUGAAGGGAUUGGGAAGUUAAUAAACAUGAAGCAUUUACGAAAUAGAGGUACUAGUUCUUUAAGGUACAUGCCAGUAGGGAUUGGGAGAUUAACGGGUCUCAGGACCUUGGAUGAGUUCCACGUGAGUGGAGGAAAGCGUGUAGGCUUGAAUCUCUUAAAAAAUUGGAACACCUUCAAGUAUGUGGUAUACGUAGACUGGGUGAUGUAUCAGAUGUGGGCGAGGCUAAGCGAUUAGAACUUGACAAAAAGAAAUACCUCUUCAGUUUGACCCUUGAGUUUGAUAAGAAGGAGGAAGAAGAAGGAGAAAGGAGGAAGAACGAGGACGAUCAAGUUCUUCUUGAAGCCCUACAACCACCUCUCAAUUUAAAGGAAUUAGAGAUAGAGUACUACCGAGGCAACACUGUUUUCCCCAGCUGGAUGACGUCAUUAACCAACUUAAAGAGUUUAGAUCUCUCUUCCUGCGAAAAUUGGGAGCAGCUGCCUCCUUUGGGAAAAUUGCCAUCCCUUGAAGCACUCAGCCUAUGGGACAUGAAGUGUGUGGAAAGAGUGGGUGAUGAAUUUUUGGGGAUAGAAAGUGAUCAUCAUGGCUCAUCUUCAUCGGUUAUUAUUGCCUUCCCCAAAUUGAAAUCACUUUCAAUUGAGGUUCUGCGCGAAUUGGAGGAGUGGGAUUAUGGGAUUACAAGAACGGGAAACACCGUCAUCAACAUCAUGCCACGUCUUUCUUCCUUGACAAUUGCACUUUGCCCCAAAUUAAAGGCACUGCCCGACCACUUUCAUCAAACGACAACAUUGAAGGAAUUGCACAUUUGGGAUUGCAGGCUUCUGGAAGAACGUUAUUGCAAGGGGGAAGGAGAAGACUGGCCUAAGAUAUCACACAUUCCCAACCUCCAUAUUGGGCUUUGACAAGUAAUUUCUUCUCUUACUCUGAUUUGCUUUGUUGUUGUUUUUAAUCUAAUUAAGAAGCGUAAAUAGCAUUUUGAAUCAAACUCUAUAUCAGAAAUCUGCAAUACUUACUUUCUAAUAUUCUGAUUUUCAUAUCCUAUGAAUAUACGAUUUUUAAUUUGUGAGAUGGGUAACGUUACUGUAAAAGAUUAUUAAUGCAAUAUGAGUAAUUCUUUUGCAGGACAAGUGACCUACAUUUAGUUUGGCUUUGGAGUUGAAUAAUAACCUUUCGAGGUCCCGACAACCAAAAAACGAAGCUUAAUUUGCCACAGAUUGCACGUAUUGCCAUUAUUGACAAUUUUCUGCACAAGCUUAGGUUGAUGUCAAAAGAGGUAAAUUAUUGGCAUGCCUGACUAUUUUGACCAUUACACGAUUCAUAAGUUUACAUUAAUUUUGAUUUUGAGUUGAGUGAUUAGUUUUCUAGGUUUGCUUACUUUAACUGGGUGACCAAUUUCUUGUAACUAAAUGUAUGAUGUGAAGCAGAACUCAAACAAAAGUAUGCUACUUCUUGCGGAAAUCUUGCCUUUGUUCAGAUUAUGAAACCAUUUCCAUGCAGCAAAUUCAUCCAAAAGUUUGAAUAAGUUUCACGGUUGGACACUGUUGGUUUCUUUUUCUUCUGGGGUGCAUUUAGGUGCUAUCAAGUGACAGCUGUAAGUAUGAUUGCACUAAGCUGCCGCUGGGAAAUUUGAGGUUUUGAUGGCUGCCCAUGUUAUUUUCAAGAAACUAUUGAUGUAAGAAGCUGUGGUUCUUUUCAUCAGCUUGAACCUGAAACUGUCGCUAUGGAUAACUCAGGUUUUUGUUAUCAACUAUAUCAUCUUUUUCACUAUUUUGAAACUCUUAAGAUUAAACUUUAGUAAAGUUGUUUCAGCUUUUCAAAUGAAAAACUCAUUGAUUUGAGACUUCCUUCAUUAUUGUUUCUAAUUACAAUGCUAACGAUCCAGAUAAGAUAAUAUUUAAUCGGCGAAGGUGUCCCUUGGAAGUACAUCCUUCUUUUUCUUUUAUUAUACAAAUUCUUGCAAUGAGCUUAGUGAAGCUGUUGUGCUAAUCAUGCCACUGCAUAAUUUGGCCCCUAAUGUGGGUACUCUGUUACAUUGUUCUGCAAAUUCUCCAGAAGUUAAAAUCAAUAAAUUUUCUAUUAGCUCUAGUGCUUUGACCUAAAUGCUAUUCUAUAUUCUGAUUACAAUGUUUUACCUUUAAAUUAACUACCCCUAGAUGUUGGAUUUUCUAGAACUUCAAAAUGAUUAAUGGAGAAAGAUCCCAUUAUCGUUAUUGCUAUAAAAAAUUGAUUUAUGCAUCCAAAGAUACAUUAUAUAUUUCUGUGUCUCUAUUUAUAGAUGACAUUUAAGCAUCCAUAAACCGUCAGACAGAGGAAGGGGGUUCAGUGCAAAGAUUCUGUUGACCUAGGGUUGACUGCAUAAUGUCACUUGUUCGCAAUCUAUUAUUCUUUUCAAGGUCUGCUUCCUUAACGGAGCGACCAAUGUUUUUCAACUAAAUUUAUCAUAUGAUGCAGGAAGCAGGGCAGGAUAUGAAAUGUGAAGCUCAUUGGUGGAAGUAUUGCCAGUAACAGAACCCAAAGAAAAUGAAACUAUUUCAAGGCAGCAGUUGGCAGUUGCAAGUGAAUGGAGGCCCUUGACAAAAUUCUCAAGCGGUUGCAAUGCAAUUACGAUCAUCCUCAGCCUCAGGUAAUUUCUUCUCCUGCUUUGUAUUUAUUUGUUAUCUAAUUAGGAACCGUAAAGUAUCUUGAAUCAUUUUCUGUAUCUGGAAUAUAUGCAAGAGUUUCUAAAAUUUUGAUAUGAGUGUAAUGAUGGUAAUUUCUGUUUUCUGUCUGUCAUCAAAUGUUAGAAAACUUUCAUUGAGACCCUUGAACCGAGUCAUUUUUGACAAGUGAAGUGCUGAAGAGUGAAGAGUAAGAAUGGUGCUAGAUUGGGGAAUAAAGCAAAAGGAGGUAAAUUAUUGGCAGCUUCUUCAACCUUAUUUUCUUUGGACCAGUGCCUAAUUCACAAGUCUCCAUAAUUCGGCUUUUGACCAGUUGAUAGAUAAAAUUUUAAUUUCAUUGGUGCUAAUGUACCCGUGAGGCAGGCAGAGAAGGACUGUGGAAAAGAGAAGGUUUUUAGUGAAAGCUUAAACUCAGGUAAUUCUAAAAAUUAUAUGUUUUGGCUGAUUUAUCUAAAUCAGGAAAUUUUAUUUCCAUCUGUUACAAUAAAACAGAAACAGAACACAAAGAAAAAUAUUCUACUUCUUGUGGCAAUCUUGCCUUCAUUCAGACUAUGAAACCAUUUCCUUUCACCAAUUUCUUCCAAAAGUUUGAACACAUUUCAUGGUUGGACAUAGUUAGCUUCUUUUUCUUUUGGUGCAUUUAGGUGCUAUCAAGUGACAGCCGUAAGUAUGAUUGCAUUAUUGGGAAAUUUUAGGUUUUGAUGGCUCCCCAUGUUAUUGCCAAGAAAUUUUAAGUCCUCGUGUCAGAAGCUGCGUUUCUUUUCAUCAGCCUGAACCCGAACCUGUCACUAUGGAUAACUGAGGUUUUUGUCAUCAACUAUAUCAUCUUUUUCACUGUUUUGAAACUCUUAAGAUUAAACUUCAGUAAAGUUGUUUCAGUUAUCCAUGUAAUCAGGCUAAGGAUAUUUAGCAGCUUAUUUAGGCAACUGCCAGAAUUCAGUUUGUUCGCUCGAAACUUGUAUGGUGACAAGGAUACUGGCAAGGAUAGUGAGAUAGUUUUUUGUGUGAGUGAAUUUUGAAAGCUUGGGUGUUCUGGGAUUUGCAAUUGCAAUCAUCCUCUGCUUUAGGUGAUUUCUUCUCCUGUUCUGUCUUUAUUUUCUCUCUAAUUGAAAGCAUUUCAAUCAAAUUCUGUACCAGGAAUACGAAAAAUUUACCAAUAUUUUAUUUCCAUCUGUUUGCAUUGAUAACUUGGCCGCAUAUGUACUAGUUAAAGAACAAACAGAAGCAGAGUUCAGGAAAAAGUUUCUUCGGCCACCAUAUUUGAAAAUGAAACCAUUUCCAGGAAGCAGUUGGCAGCAAAUUCAUACAAAGUAUAGACAAUGAUGAACAAAAAGGUGAUUCGCAAUUUCAUUUUUUUAAAAUGAAAUUAUUUGUUAAGUUGGAGCUGAUAUUGUUAGAAGGCCAUUGAGCUAACCUCUGACACUGCUUGCCUAGAUUGCAGGAGGUCAAGACUCAAAAGAUGCACUGAAUUUUAAAAGGCAUGCAAUAAUUCUUAUGGCCAUUUGUCAAUGGUGGAAUGCUUUUAGCUUCUUUUCCUUUUGUGCAUUUUGGGGUUCUAUCAAGCGACAGCCGUAUGUAUGGAUGGAUAUAGCUGCUGCGUUGAUUUCUAAUGCAUUGUAUGAUGUUAUAGCAACUAUCCAUCUGGUCAAUGUUUCAAAAGAAUAAGACAGGGAAAAAGAGAAAGCAAGUGGCCAAUCAAGUUGCAUCAACCAAAUUGUUGUUAAACAAGUAAAACAAAGAAAGAGAGUUAAGGAAGCUGACCUUGUAGUAGGGGAGCUGAAGAAAGGCUGCCAGUGAAUGUAAGAGAAAAUAAAAUGCAAGAAAUGGUGAAGUGCAGCUUUUCAUGUCAACUUGAAAUUGAUUUUUCUGUUUGUUUUUUUUUUUUUGUAAUCUUUUGGAUUUUUCAAACAAAGAAAAUGAGGAGCAACCAGGGAGAUAAAAAGGGCGCCAAGGCAACUGUGUGUUGGGUUUAGAGCCAAAAAUAAAUAAAUAAAUAAAUAAGACAUCGUGUUCUUGUGGAGACCAGACCUAUUACGUAACGUCCCCUUCAAUACCACUUGUUCCGUAUCUGGUUUUCUCUUCGUCGUUUACAUAUUUAUCCUGUGAUUUUACAAUAACUAAAUAAUCCCCGCAUAGUUUGCAAUUUUAUUCAUUUGGGCCCUACAGAUUUCAGUAAUAGGAAUUAUUAAGGGACAAGAGCGCAAAACAGAAACUCUGUCCACUACUGAUGAUAUAAUAACGAACCUUUGUUUUUUUUUUUUAAAAAAAAAAAGAGUAACAAAAUAUCAUUAGACAAAUGAAAAUAUUAUCUAACAUCACCUAUUCACCUUACUGAUGAUAUGAAAAUAUGUAUGUAUGUAUGUAUGUAUGUACAUAUAUACAUACACCUAUGUAACAUUUACUUAUACAUUCUUUUGAGUUUAAAUCUUAAUACAACUACAUACAACCACAUCAAUGUAUAUAUUUUUUACAUAAGACAUGCCGUCCUAUUAUUCAUAAGUAAACAAUGUGCCGUAAAUAGUAUUCUGUGUUUUCUCAAAGUUGACUUUUCGUCUUUUAUUUUCAGACGCAGACGCUAUGUCAUUUUGUAAUCGUCCGAACAUAUACAGAGCAGAAUUGGUGUUAUCUGAUUUUGUGAUGCAAUAAGAUUUGCACUUCCUGUGCAUUCAAUGGAAUCAUGCCACGCUAGUAGACAAUAUGCUAGUUUGAACAAACUUGUUUGAAUGGCAAAAACGACAUGACCUGCUGUAGUAUUAAUUCUUUCCCGAACCAACGGGUGAUUUGCUACGUUGGAUCAUGAAAAUUAACCAAAAUAAAAAUUCUUAAGGAAUUAGUUAGUUAAUUGAUUGAUCGAAUUUAAUCUAAAUUUGAAAAUGAUAAGAUAAAUUUAAAUUUAUUAUUAUUAUUAUUAUUAUUAUUUUAAAGUGGGUGGGUUUAUACAAUUUGAGCGGUGGAAAUAUCACUGCUGAAUUAUUAAAUAUACAGUGUAAAAUUUUGACCUUUAAAAUAUUCCCUUUUUUUUUUUAUUUAGCACUAUAAGUUUAAAAAUUUAACAUUUUACCUCAAUAAUUAAAUACUUUUAACUUUAAUCUUCAAAUAUUUACCCUACAACAUUUGGACCUAAAUUUUUAAUCCGACUCGGCCCCUGACCCAAGUGGGAAGAAGAUCAGGCUUAUAAGUUAUAACUAUCACCAACAUAACAUCUUCUGGAAAAUAAUAAGAUUACUCACCUGCAAUUAUGUGAUCAAACUAAUGGUAAGCAAAAUAGAACAGCGUUAUUUCAGUCCCCUUUCAGUUUCUUUAUCAUUUUUCUUUUCCUAUUUAUAAGCUUAAUUCGGUUCAAAAUCGGCUAAUUCACUUUGAUUUCACUUUUCUUUCUUUCGGUUCAAAAAAAUUGAACCCAUUGGCUGUCAAUUCAAUUUUGUUGAAAACCAACUUUGCCUGAAUUUAAGUAAUAAUAGAGGAAAAAAAAAGAGUACUUAGCAGAAGAGAUUUCUCAUUUUUUUCUCAUUCAAACUUCUAAAAUAAAAGAAAAAAAAACAAGAGUAAUUGUUAAUUAUCAAAAUUUUGUUUAUACUAUUCCACCAAGAAAAUUAUACAAAAAAAAAAAUUUUAAAAAUUGGAGAAGAAAUAUGAGGUGAAAUACGUGGAUGGCUUAGACUAAUAAUGUGAACAAAUUCCUCUUGGAAGCAUGUCAUUGUUCAUCCGGACAACACGCGGCGAUGAGAUUCGAGAAUAAAAGGAUAGGAAUCAACUGUAACCUCAUAAACAAAUGGCCUUGGAGUUGUAACCAAAGCUUUUAAUUAUUGAUCAUUAAGAUCGAUAUAAAGUAUCACGAAAUGAUGUGUACGACGACAAUAUCAAUAGCGUAGUGUGAAGACCUGGCUGUAAACACAAGGCUCGGCAGAUUAAUUAAACAAGAGUAUCCGAAUUUUCUAUGAUAAUCUCUAGGAAACGAUCAGCUAUAAUGUACGAAAUUAAAAUAUUGCAUAUAUUUUUGAAUUUUUGAACUCAUGCAUUAAUUUAAAAAAUUAUAUCGUAUUAUAAUUUAUUCACAAAAGAAAGAAAAAUUCACUAAUCAAGUGAAAUCGUAUUCUUAUUGAAAUGAAUUCCAGUAAUUGGAUAAAUAUAAGUAUUUCUUCCGUUGUAAUUUUUGUUUAACAGAAAAUCUAUUUGAGAUUUUGUGAGAAGAAACUCAACAAUAAAGUUUGAUAGACUUUGUGGAUAUUAAGAGUUUGACAAGUAAUUGAAAUCUGAAGUUUACUGAAAUUUACGAGCAAACAAACUGAAAUCCGAAGUUUACUGAAGUUUACUAUCAAGAGUUUCAAAACAGUGAAAAAGAUGAUAUAGUUGAUGACAAAAACCUGAGUUAUCCAUAGCGACAAGUAACAUACUGAAGUAAGCCGUUGGGAGCUGGCCUGUUCAUGGGCUAUUUUUCUCUGAUGAUCUGCAUUUUUCUUCCUUUUAAAGUGAACCUUGACUCGUAUCAAACCUGUCAAAAGAACAGUUCAUCAACUGAGCUGAGAUUUGCUUUCCUUUUUCAAAACCCACCUGAGAUAUUGUAAUUCCCAAAUUUCUCUCUCUCAGCUACACGAGCAAGCAGCCGCUUUUUCACUUCAUCGAAGAAGGUAAGCGAUUUAUCUAUUUCGUCCGAUUGAUUUCUUGUUUCGUUUUCAGUGUUCGGGUAAAUUAUUGGCAUGCCUGACUUUUUGACCAUUACAUGAUUCAUAAAUUUCUAUUAAUUUUGAUUUUGAGUUGACUGGUUACUUUUAUAGGUUUGUUUACUUUGACUAGGUGACCAAUUUCUUGUAACUAAAUUUAUGACGUGAUGCAGGAAGCUCGGCAGGAUAUGAAAUGAGAAUCUUAUUAGUGGAAGGAUUGCCAGUAACAGAACCCAAAGAAAAUGAAACCAUUUCAAGGCAGCAGUUGGCAGUUGGGAGUGGAUGGAGGCCCCUGACAAAACUUCAGUAAACUUCAGAUUUCAGUUUGUUUGCUCGAAACUUGCAUGGUGACAAGGAUACUGGCAAGGAUAAUGAGAUAGUUUUUGUGUGAAUGAAAUUACGAUCAUCCUCAGCCUUAGUUGUUAUUUGUUACCUAAUUAAGAAGCAUAAAGUAUCCUGAAUCAUUUUCGUUGUCUGGAACAUAUGAGUGUAAUGAUUGUAAUUUCUGUUUUCUGUCUGUCAUCGAAUGUAAGACAACUUUAUUAAGAUUCUUGAACCGAGUCAUUUUUGACAAUUGAAGGACAAGUGCUGAAGAGUGGGAAUGCAAAAAGUUUUGUUGUUUCUAGCCUUGUUUUCUUUGAACCAGCGCCUGAUGAUAUAACAGAAACAAGGCUAGAAACAACAAAAACUCUGUCCACUACUGAUGAUAUAACAACGAACCUUUGUUUUUUUCUUUUUUCUUUUUUUUUUUAAAAAAAGUAACAAAAUAUCAUUAGAGAAAUGAAAAUAUUAUCUAACAUCACCCUACUGAUGAUAUGAAAAUAUGUAUGUAUGUAUGUAUGUAUAUACGUAUGUAUGUACAUAUAUACAUACACCUAUGUAACAUUUAAUUAUACAUUCUUUUGAGUUUAAAUCUUAAUACACAUUUUCAUGAAAUUUUUAUUUUAUUAAGUAUACAACUACAUACAACUACAUUAAUGUAUAUAUUUUUUACAUAAGACAUGCCGUCCUAUUAUUCAUAAGUCAACAAUGUGUUGUAAAUAGUGUUCGUGUCUCAAAGUUGACUUUUCGUCUUUUAUUUUCAGACGCAGACGAUAUGUCAUUUUAUACACAGCAGAAUUGGUGUUAUCUGAUUUUGUGAUGCAAUAAGAUUUGCACUUCCUGUGCACUCAAUGGAAUCAUUUCUUUGUAACUAAUUGGGUGCUGGAAUGGUGGUCAAAUCUCGAACGAAGACAGAUCUAUCAAACUCCAGAAUUGGUGUUAUCUGAUUAAUUGAUUGAUCGAAUUUU